GACACCACUCGCCCCGACGGACCUCCCGGUCUCUGCUUCUUGCAGAAACGAGGGAAGAACCGGCGGCGGACUCUGCGUGCUCCGGAGCUCGCGCUCCGAGUGCACCGAACCUCGUGAACGAGACCCCCCCUACUUGUAAUAAAACAGGAUUGUUGACGGCAUGGGGCAUUUUUUGGGGAGAUUGGCACCUGCUAGGAACGCUCCAACCGGCCACUCAACGCUUCGGCGUUUGUAACGGGCCUUGGCGGAAAUAGCAACCGCGAACCCCCCUAGAGACAAAACGCCACGACUUAUAGCAAUCCGACCCGCUCUUGUCCGGUUCGGGAGGUCGCCAAGUGUUUUCCGGUCGCCCCGCGCGCGCCUCGGGCGCGCGGACUAACCCCAACUUUCGU
rnacentral:misc_RNA from 1 species